ACUUGACUGUGUACUUCCAUGUUUUCUGCCAAUAUGUAAUGAACAAACCCUCUGAGUGAUGGCUGAGUGAGAAGACAGGUAUUAUGCUUAAUAUGUACUGCAGAGAGAUGUGCAAACAACCAUACAACUGCUAACUACAUACGAAGAAGAGAGAAGCGUCUAGAAUUGACAGGGAACUCACCAUUAUGAUGGACUUAACAGCACCUGAGAGACUUUUGAUCUGAAGAGAAACAUAACUAUGUGCAUUUUAUUCUCAGUUGUGAUAUUAGCUCCCUAUCUUCAUGCAUUUCAUCAAUAAGGACUAUAUAAUAUUGAGAAGCAUAUUUGUGCUAUUUCUUUUUCUGAGAUAGAACACUCUGAAGCAGAUUAUGGAAGGAAAAUAUUUAUGUGGCUUACAAUUCCAUAUUAUAGUCAGUCAUUGCACAAACUUGGGGCAUGAAUUCAGACAGGAAUUGGAAGAUAGGAACCAAGGAGGCAUAUGGAAUGUUAGCUUUUCAUACAUUUAUGCUAAGCUAGCUUCCUUAUAAAAGAAAGAACCCCAUGUGAACGGAAUGAGUGAUGCUCUCCAAUAACCAUGACAAUUUGUCUGAACAACCUCAGAAAGCCAAUGACUCCAAUGAGACUCUUUGAGGUGAUUUUAGGCUGUGUCUGGUUAACAAUUAAUGCUAACUAGAAACGGGAGAAAAUAGUGUUUCCAUUUGUUCUUCAUCUCUUCAUCAAUGCCAAUAAAAGUGUUCCAAGAGGAAGGAUUUAGAAGUCAUUAGAUAUUCCAAUGGAGUUAAUAACGUGAUCAGGUCUACAAGCAUGUCAUUGGUUAAGUAUAAUUGUUUGUUUAUAGAACUAUAGAGCAAGGAUAAAGGAGGGAAGGGUAUAUUUAACAUCAGUGAAUUGCUGUAUGUAAGACCAAUGCAAAGAGUUGUUAACAAGUAGGUACAUAUGCCCCAAAGAGAUGAGAAUAGAGAAAACACUAAUCAAAGUUUGCUGUUGUGACUUAUCUUUGAUUUUUUUUAAACCAAAAUUUCCUUGUAAUGAUCAAUAUGGAUAGACACUUUAUGCAAUGUUUUAUAAAGUAAAG